CGGGGGUGGUCGACGGGACGGGAGCGGCCUUCGGAGUCGCUGCGGCGUCCCCCUCGGCGUCGUCGGUCGCCGCGGUGUCGUCCGU
rnacentral:tRNA from 1 species